UACGUAGGUGGCAAGCGUUGUCCGGAUUUACUGGGUGUAAAGGGCGUGUAGCCGGGUUGACAAGUCAGAUGUGGAAUCCUGCGGCUUAACCGCAGAACUGCAUUUGAAACUGUUGAUCUUGAGUACUGGAGAGGCAGACGGAAUACCUAGUGUAGCGGUGAAAUGCGUAGAUAUUAGGAGGAACACCAGUGGCGAAGGCGGUCUGCUGGACAGCAACUGACGGUGAGGCGCGAAAGCGUGGGGAGCAAACAGG
rnacentral:rRNA from 1 species